rnacentral:rRNA from 1 species
UACGGGGGGUGCGAGCGUUGUCCGGAAUCACUGGGCGUAAAGGGCGCGUAGGUGGCCUGAUAAGGGUGUGGUGAAAGUCCGGGGCUCAACCCCGGAUCUGCCGUGCCGACUGUUGGGCUGGAGUACUGUAGGGGCAGGCGGAAUUCCGGGUGUAGCGGUGGAAUGCGUAGAGAUCCGGGAGGAACACCAGCGGCGAAGGCGGCAUCCUGGACUGGUCCUGACACUCAGGAGCGAAAGCGUGGGGAGCGAUCCGG